UACAGAGGUGCCAAGCGUUGUUCGGGUUUAUUGGGCGUAAAGGGUGCGUAGGCGGUCAAGCAAGUCGGGUGUGAAAUUCCGGAGCCUAACUCCGGAACUGCAUUCGAAACUGCUUGGCUCGAGGUCUGGAGAGGUAAUUGGAAUUCUCGGUGUAGCAGUGAAAUGCGUAGAUAUCGAGAGGAACACCAGAGGCGAAAGCGAAUUACUGGACAGAACCUGACGCUGAGGCACGAAAGCUAGGGGAGCAAACGGG
rnacentral:rRNA from 1 species